CGUCGCCGUGCUCCGCUGAGAGCGGGCCUUUCUCGGUGGAGUCCCGCCCCCCAGCCCAUCUCUGCUGGGCGCUGUGGUACCGGUGGCUGGGUCUCCGUGGCACUCCGUGGGUCUUCGGCGGGAUGUGUGCUGCGCGGUCCACGUUACCAAGGGGCGGGGCCGAGCCUUACCAGCCUUACAGCGCCGAUGGCUCUGCGCCCCCUCCACGCAGCCGCGGUGGAGUCUGCCCUGACAGUCACACAUACACUUGUGAAUCGUGACAGGCAGCGUUCAGGGGUUUGGUCUCUACGACUUCGCUGUUUUCCCCACGCCGGACUCACCUCUCACAUACCCAGAGGUCCUCUUGAGGAGGCGUCUGGGACAGUGGAGUUGGACGGAGUACGAAUACAACUUCUGUGAGGAGCGCAGGUCAUAAAUGGACGAGGAGGCUCAGGAGGUCAAGAGAGGCCCCUUGAAAGUGGCACCUGGGCUGCCCUCCAGUUUGAGUGGGAGUGACUGACUUAGCAAGGAGACUGGCAUACAAGUCUCCUCAGACGAGAAUACAACACCGACAUGGAAGCCACACAAAUGCCAGGUAGGUGUUAUCUGUGGCAAAGAGAUAAGGUUAAGCCUUCAAAGAGGAGCAGGACUUGGGCACCUGACAGGAUAUUAUUGGGGAGCAGUAGUGUGCAGGACAGUUAGUGGGUACAGGGUGUUAGAGAGUAACAGAGGUAAGACUCUACCCUUGCACACUCAGUGCCAAACUUAGCUUUUAAGUGUCCUAUGAAUGUUUAUGGAAACAGUAAAUGAAGGGGAGAUGGUUGUCGGGGUGUAGAUCUUGAAUAGCAGAGUUUAGUUUUUGAGACAACUAGUAUGUUCCCUCAGUAGGCCCAAAUGUUGAACACUUUUCUUAAUUACGGCAGGUCUCUGGUCUUGUGAAGAAAGGAUUGCCCUUCGUUUGUCAGGAAGGAUUAGGUUCCACCAAACAGAGUAGCAGACAGCAGUGUGGUGUUGUGCUGGAUCUUGGGGUUGUUCUCAGCACAGCGUGCUGGCACUUGAUCUUGGGAGUUCUUCUCAGCCCCACAGGGAAUGCCAGAAGUCCGGAGUGUGCUGGCUGUGCAACUUUCCAGAAGUGGACCAAGGAGGGCCCCCCCCUUAUUAAUGUCAAGUACCUUAGUCAUAAAACGGGCUUCAAUCUAUUAAAAAACCUUUUCCAGUUUUGACUUAGCAAAAUCUGACUAGUUCUAGAGCCCUUCUUGAAAACAGGCGAUUAGAGAAAGAUGAGCAUUAUUAGCAUAAUUUCCAGUGAUAUGAAGAGCCUGGAGGGGAAAUCCAGACUUGUGCCACUGAAUUGUUCCAAUAUAUAUGCAUUUAGCCUUUGCCUCCUCUAGUUUACUCCUCCUGGAGUCAAAGGUGAUCAUCAACAAAUAUAAAGAGAAAAAAAAUAAAGGUAACAGACAACUGGGACCACCACUUUAUAGACAGUGGUAAAGGAAAAGCUCACUACUGUGAUGUUUGAAUUCUCUAAAGGAAGAGAGGCAGUCUCCAGUAUACACAAGUGACAGGCAGAAGGGAGAGUUGGUAAGAACAGUGAGUCAGCUUGCUUACAAUGUAGACCAUUGUGGCUCAAGAUGAUCAGGGGAUGAAUGGUAUCAGAAGGUAGGGAGUGGCAGCCACAUGCCUGACUGGUCAUUGUGGGGACUCAAUUUUGCCCCAAGAAGCCACUGAGUUCUGAGCCAAGAAGAGACAAAGUGUAACUUUGUGGUUUAGCAGGGACACUCUGCAGCCUGAAUGAAGGUUAAACUGUAGGGGAGAAAGGGUAGGGGACAGGAAGACAAAUGUGGAUGUGACCGCAAUAACCCAGGUGAGGGAUUUUAGGUCAGAAUAGGGUGUGUGGGGGGUGAUACUGGAGGAAGUAUGCAGAGGCCAGAUUUAAUUUGCUGAUGGGUCAAAUGUGGGGUUUAAAGCAUGGGAACCUAGGAAGAACCUUUCUGAAGCCCUAGUAUAAAUGCAGACCUGGAGGCUUCAGAGUAAGCUAGGUUCUUAGGAACUUUCAGAAUCUUUCUCCUUUCCCAUUUUAUUCCCUUUAUAAUGCAUAUUGUAUGUAUUAAUGUUGCUCCUCUCCCAUAACAGAGAAGUUCCUUGACAACAGGAAUUGCCCUCUGGUACACGUGCAGCAUGCAUUUAGUGGACACCUGACUUGAAAGAUGAAUAAUCCCAUUACAACAAAUGGACUGUAUCAUUGCAACAUGGAUGUCCUCAUAGAAAGAGAACUUUUUUCCUCCCCAAAGUACAAAUUCGUUCAUUAACCUCAUGUAAUAUAUUCCAUCGGGCAUACAAUGAUACAAAACCAAUAACCACUUCAAAUGCAUUGGUUUAAUUCCAGGUGACACGGAGUUCAGGAUAGAACCAAGACUGAAGAGCACACAUUGGCAGGAUUCUUGGCUAGGUUCACGCUGACCUCAAAACUAACACAGAAAUGACUGAGUGACAAAAAAUAAAGAGAAUAUGAGCCACUGUA